rnacentral:rRNA from 1 species
GACGACGCUGGCGGCAUGCCUAAUACAUGCAAGUCGAGCGAGUGGCGGACGGGUGAGUAAUGUCUGGGAAACUGCCCGAUGGAGGGGGAUAACUCCUGGAAAAGGUAGCUAAUACCGCAUACCAUCGGAUGUGCCCAGAUGGGAUUAGCUAGUAGGUGGGGUAACGGCUCACCUAGGCGACGAUCCAUAGCUGGUCUGAGCGGAUGACCAGCGAGACUGGAGCUGCGACACGGCCCAGAUUCGUACGGGAGGCAGAAUGGGGGCAUAUUGCACAAUGGGCGCAGUCCUGAUGCAGCCAUCCCGCUUGGAUGAAGAAGGCAUUAGGGUUGUAAAGUACUUUCAGCGAGGAGGCGUUACUCGCAGAAGAAGCACCGGCUAACUCCGUGCCAGCAGCCGCGGUAAUUC